rnacentral:lncRNA from 1 species
ACCCCAAACCACGGCCACAAGUUGUCAAACCAGACCUCCACAAACCAUAUUACGACUCCAAUCCGAAGCCAACACUCCCCAAACCAAAGUUCACAGAACCAAAACCAGACAAAGGGUAUGACUCAAAACCAUACCUUGGCCAACCAACCACCCCCAAACCAGACACUGCCAAGCCAAAUUAUGGUUACAACCCGAAACCAGAAGUUCCCAAACCGAAAUUGACAAUGCCGAAACCCAACUAUGGUAAUGACCCAAAACCAAAGUUGAUCGUACCCAAACCAGACACUGCCAAGCCAAAUUAUGGUUACAAACCAAAACCAGAAGUUCCCAAACCAAAGAUGACUGUACCGAAACCCGAUCAUGGUUAUGACCCUAAAGGGAAGGUUUACGAACAACCAAAGUCAACUGCACCAAAGCCAGAGAUUAUCAAGCCACAUGAUGGGUAUGCCCAAAAACCAAACCUCCCGGAACCAAAGUUAUACAUACCAAAACCGAGUAAUGACAAACUGGACUAUGAGUAUAGCCCAAUCGGCAUCGAAGGUUUUGUCCUCUGCAAACGCGGCUCUAACUAUACCCCUAUUGAAGGUAAUUUCUACACCCUCUUUAUUCUUCCUCGGAUUCAAUGUAAUACUUUGUUUCGCAUGUAUUAUUAUUCUUACAGACGCUGCUGAUCAAUUAUAUUCUUUCGUUAUGUUUUCCUCACAAAAACUAUUUUUUUUGUGUGCAGGAGCCGUGAUAAGAAUAGCCUGUACUGCUGUGGACCAGUAUGGUUACAAGAAAGUCCCUUUCUCCUGCUUGACAGAAGCAACUAAUGCAAAGGGUUACUACUUCAAAACAUUGCCUGCUUUAAAGCUCACAGAAUGCAAGGCUUACCUUGAAAGCUCUCCAUUGAAAACCUGCAACGUUCCUACAGAUAUGAACUAUGGGAUCACCGGUGCUCCCCUUUCAGCUUAUCACGUUCUCCAUGACAAGAAAAUAAAACUGUACUCCAUGAGGACUUUCUUCUACACCUCGACGAAACCUACAUCAACCCCUGCUGGUUAUUAAAUUGUCUUCUCUCCAUGACUACAAUUCAUCUAUUUUUUACUUUGUUUAAAGCUGUUGUAACGGAUUGAUUUCCUUCUUGCUGUUUAUAUUUAUGGGCUUUUGCCUUGAUGAUCAGUUUCAUUAUGGGGAGAGUUUUGUGAUAAAAAUUCUUCAAUUAAGAUUUUUAUUUUCUUUUCUUUUUGGGAGAUUAAUGAUGUAUCAGUGUCACCAAAUAUUAAUGAACCACAAGGUCAUUGAUUUGUUUCCUUAAAAAUAAAUAACUUAAAGACUAGUCUUUUUUGUAAUUUGUCCUCCGGUUAAUUUUAUCAUGUUUCCAUUUCAAUGUGUGCGUUUAGAAAUACUAAGUUACUCGGCAUUUGCUUAGUAAAUUUAUUAUUUAAUUAAUUUAUAGUAUUUAAUUUCUAUUUUUUGAUAAGUUGUUUAGAAUUAUUUACAAAUGAAUAAAUUUAAAUGUUUAAUGAAUAUAAAUGUACUUGAUUUCAAAUUAUUAUAUAUUAAUUUUGAUAUAAUUUAAGGGUUUUUGUAUUUUAAGACUUUAUAUUAUAGAAUGUAUAUAUAUAAGAAAUAUUAUAGGACUACUCUAGUGUUGUAAUCUCUACCUUUACUAUUGUGUAUUGCAUUAUACAUAUAAAUAAAAAAGAUUGAUUAACUAAUAAGUUAAGCCUCUUAUUUCUUCUCAACUUUGUAUUAAAGCCCUUAAGCGUCCUACCUGAGACAUACUAUAUUACUGAUUUUGUUUUAAAUUGCUAAAAGUUUAUUUUUGUUUUAUUCUUAUAGUCUUUCUAUAAUAUUCUUGACUUUGGUGUCAAUAAAUAUUCUCUUAUGAAUAUUUCUAACUCUAGUAUUGGUAAAUAUUGCGCAACGCUAAAGGUAUAAUUUUCGUGACUCUAACAGUAGUGAAUAAAUUUGCAAAUUUUGGAUUAAAAUAAAAGGAAACUAUUUUUUAUUUUCAUUUUCUUUAGAAAAAAAACAUGUAUUGCAUAUCAGAUACAUAUUUCGCAAUAAAAGUCCAUAAAUCAUAUAUACAACAAAACCAACAAAACCACACAGAAAAAAAAAGGUGUGAGUGACCCAUAAGUAAAUCAAUGAAAACCUCCAUAUUUUUUUUUAUAUCCAAAAAGGAUUCAUUUAGUUAAAUAUCAAAACAAAAAUGUGUGAAAUAAAAAGAGAAUACGUAAAGGUAUAUUUUACCAAACACACCCUUAAUCCAAAACAAUUUACGCUGGCUAGGUCUAAGUCUCAGACCCAGACCCAAACCCAGCCAAAUCUCAAUUUAUUGGGGAAAAAAUUCAAAAUUUUGGUGAUAACCGAAAUCAAAGGUAAAUAUAAGGUGUUUUUAAUAUCCAUCUCAUGAGCAAUCUUAAUGAGUAAAUGAUAGGUUGCAACAGUUAUCACUUUCACCUUUGAACCAGUCCCCAUACAGACGAGUCCUUCACUGUCCUUCCAUUCUGGCUUGUAAGGAAUCCCUACAUUGUGUUGUUCAUGUGAGCAAUAACACUAUAAUCAACCAACCAGGUAUUAAAAGGAACUUAAGCAAGAUUUGAUUCAUAACAAACAAAAGAAAAUUUAUUACAUUUCUUUUCAAACCAAGCUUUAUGUUAAUUUGUUGGAGUCCAUCUUUACAUGUCCUUUCUUAUUAUAAAAAUUAAUAAAAUUUGAUAGUAAAAUUAUCUUUCUAUUUUUUAUUAACUUUUCUGGAUGCAUUUUGUUUCUUUAAUGGAGUUUAUUUUCCAUUCCCUUCCUCCUUGCUUACUUUGAGUUACCAGUAAUGCUGUAUGUUUCUUUCAUGUUUUAAACAUACUUGCUCUUAAAGACACAUGUUUAUCUAUUUACUUAUGCUUCAUUGAUCCUUAAUUAUUGGUGUUAUAAUUAAUUUUGAGUGGAUCAAGCCGAGAAGGAAGUGAAUUCAGAAUGAAUUGAACAGAAAACUAUCAUUUACAUGCAUUCUUAAAGCAUUUAGCUAUGCAACUUUAUCUGCCUUAUCGAGAAUAUGAUGAUGAACUCCUCUAGUACCAUCAUACUUCAUGGUAGUUAAUUCUUCUAUAAAAGUGCUUGCUAGUGACUUCUCAACUGAUCCUUCAGUAGUACUGAAUUCAUAAAUUCCUCAGCAUUUCUCAUCUAUAAUUGAGAGGUUGUGAUGUUGUUCGCCGGAAUUAUCCUCAUUAACGUCAAACUAAGCAUGUUUGACCUCUCUCCGGCUUUCAUUUCAAAGACUUGUUCAUCAGUUAUGUCAUCGGUAAUAGCUAGCUUGGGUUUUAUUCGUCAAAAGCGAAAAGUCCAAAUCCAAAGUGUUAAUCAGACUUGCCCGUACCAUUAAGAGAAUUUUGUCCCAUUGAAACCAAAAUACUUGAAGUAUAUGAUUGCAACACAGUGAGGAUUAAGACUAAAACUUUAAAAAACAUUCUGACAAUGAAGCUUAAGUCUAUAAUAUAGGAUUUUAUAACUCUAAAUUAAUAGACUAUUCAUGUCACCUUGGUUCACCUCUGGGCAAAAACCUCAGCGCAUCCGUUGUCCGCUCUAUAUAAAGCAAUAAGCAUAUCGUAAGCUGUCAUGUCUAUUCAAAUAUUGAAUUGUAUUUUAUCCAGAAACAGUUAAUUACAAGUAUACAAAUUUCAAGACAUAUAGCAAAGGCACGUCCUGAAUAAAAAUGCCGAAUAUAAUAAUGUCCAAGUCCACGCCAUCAUGCCGUACUGCAAUGUGUCCUUGGUGCAUGUAGCAGUAUUGCUCAUCACGUUGCUCUCCCCUCCCCUCCAACUGUGCAUACAAUUAGUCUCCCUUUCCUUCCUAUAUUUUAUUUCUCAGAUUAGUAACCCAAUCGGGCAAUCGGUCCUAUAAAAGGCCACGAUGAUGGUAGCGUUCCAUAUCAACAAUCUAAAGUUCUAUCCCUGUCCUCUUUGCAAUGCCUCUAACCCAUUCCUCCUCCGCCACCGUAUUCCUUCUCUUGUCAUUGUCAGUAAUUGCCUCAGCUGGCGGUUACGGCUAUGACCAAAAGCCAGAUACAACCAAGCCAGAUCAUACUUGCAACUCAAAAUCAAAGCCAGACACUUCCAAACCCAAGUAUAGUUAUGACCCCAAACCACGGCCACACGUUGUCAAACCAGAUCUCCACAAACCAUAUUACGACUCCAAUCCGAAGCCAGCCCUCCCCAAACCAAAGUUCACAGAACCAAAACCAGACAAAGGGUAUGACUCAAAACCAUACCUUGGCCGACCAACCAUCCCCAAACCAGACACUGCCAAGAAACCAGACACUGCAAGCCAAAUUAUGGUUACAACCCAAAACCAGAAGUUCCCAAACCGAAAUUGACAAUGCCGAAACCCAACUAUGGUAAUGACCCAAAACCAAAGUUGAUCGUACCCAAACCAGACACUGCCAAGCCAAAUUAUGGUUACAACCCAAAACCAGAAGUUCCCAAACCAAAGAUGACUGUACCAAAACCCGAUCAUGGUUAUGACCCUAAAGGGAAGGUUUACGAACAACCAAAGUCAACUGCACCAAAGCCAGAGAUUAUCACGCGGGAACCAAAGUUAUACAUACCAAAACCAAGUAAUGACAAACUGGACUAUGAGUAUAGCCCAAUCGGCAUCGAAGGUUUUGUCCUCUGCAAACAAGGCUCUAACUAUACCCCUAUUGAAGGUAAUUUCUACACCCUCUUUAAUUAUUCUUCCUCGGAUUCAAUGUAAUACUUUGUUUCGCAUGUAUUAUUAUUCUUACAGACGCUGCUAGCUGAUCAAUGAUAUUCUUUUGUUAAGUUUUCCUCACAGAAACUAUUUUUUUUGCGUGUAGGAGCUGUGAUAAGAAUAGCCUGUACUGCUGUGGACCAGUAUGGUUACAAGAAAGUCCCUUUCUCCUGCUUGACAGAAGCAACUAAUGCAAAGGGUUACUACUUCAAAACAUUGCCUGCUUUCAAGCUCACAGAAUGCAAGGCUUACCUUGAAAGCUCUCCAUUGAAAACCUGCAACGUUCCUACAGAUAUGAACUAUGGGAUCACCGGUGCUCCCCUUUCAGCUUAUCACCUUCUCCAUGACAAGAAAAUAAAACUGUACUCCAUGAGGACUUUCUUCUACACCUCGACGAAACCUACAUCAACCCCUGCUGGUUAUUAAAUUGCCUUCUCUCCAUGACUUCAAUUUUCUAUUUUUUACAUUGUUUAAAGCUGUUGUAACGGAUUGAUUUCCUUCUUGUUGUUUAUAUUUAUGGGCUUUUGUCUUGAUGAUCAGUUUCAUUAUGGGGAGAGUUUUGUGAUAAAAAUUCUUCAAUUAAGAUUUUUCUUUUCUUUAAAUCUUGGGAGAUUAAUGAUGUAUCAGUAUCACCAAAUAUUAAUGAACCACGAGGUCAUUGAUUUUUGUUCUUAAAAAAAAGGAGUUAAAGACUAGUCUUUUUUGUAUUUUGUCCUCCGGUUUUAUCAUGUUUCCACUUCAAUGUGUGCAUUUAUAAAUACUAAGUUACUUGGCAUGUGCUUAGUAAAUUUAUUAUUUGAUUAAUUUAUAGUAUUUUUUUUUAUUUUUUGAUAAAUUGUUUAUAAUUUUUUACAAAUGAAUAAAUUUAAGUUUUUAUUAAAUAUAAAUGUACUUGAUUUUUAAAUAAUUAUAUAUGAAUUUUGAUAAUUAUAAUAAAUUAAUUAUCACAUAAAUUUUGAUAUAAUUUAAGAGUUUUUGUAUUUUAAGACUUUAUAUUUCUUCACAGCUUAUUUUUAGUCUUUUAGAUUUUUAAUAGUUAAAAUAGAAUAUGAAUAUAAUAUUAUAUAGUUGAGGAUUGAUUUAAGUAGAUUAUUUUUAAGAUUGAGGAUGUUUUUCAAUGAAUAAUAAGUGGCUGGUAGCUGGUGUCUAGUAAUAUAAACCUGCAAAAAAUUUCUUUUGAUGAAUAUAAAAUCUCUUAAAUACUUAAAUCAAAUAAUUUUAUAAAGAAAAAGUUCAACAUUAAAUAUUUCCUUUUGCAUUGUGCUUUCCUUAAAAACCCAUUUACAACUAGUUUUCUUGCAUUUACUAGGCAAUUCAAUGAGAUGUGACAAGUUGGAUACUUUAGAAUAAAUCAUUGCACCUAACAAUGUCUAUUAAAACACAAUUAUAUUUUUUAGUAACUUUAUUUUACUGCAGCAUCCCUGACAUUGUAUAUCAUCGCACCCCUAAUAAUGUCUAUUAGAGUACAAUUAUGUUUUUCAGUAACUCCAUUCUACUGUAGCAUCCCUGACAUUGUAUAUCAUGCCCGAAUGCCUUAUUUUUUAAAAACUUAGAAAAUGUACCAAGAUUUUAUCUUAACUUAUCGUACCUAUCAUAGUACUCACCACUCUUAUUUGAUCCAAUAAUUUUAACAUUUCUAUCUAAUUAUCUCUUGGCUUCAAUGAUGCACACUAUAUGGAUGUCAACAAUUUGAGAUUUCUUAUGCAUUAGAUAUACAUAACCAUAACAUGACAUAUAUUUUUUGAAACAUAAAAUAUAGAGUGGUCGAAUAUGAAUAUGAAUAUGAAUAUAUAUAUAUAUAUAUAUAUAUAUAUAUAUAUAUAUAUAUAUAUAAUUUAAUGCAAUCCAUACACAAGUCCAAAUAAGUGAAAUCUAGUUUUUCCAAAACUUCAUUCUUCACUAAUAUCUAAAUCCUUUCCCUAAAGACAUGCCUCAUACAUCUAUGCCACAAGGUAAAUUUCAUUUAUUUCAUUACACUUUAAAACAACAUUAUAAUGCAAGGCCAUCAAACAUUGCUUUUCUAAUUAGUUUUUUUAUUUUUAUUUUAUUAUAUCUUUUAAUAUUAAAUUGGUUGAAUUUUCAGCUUCAUAUUUUAUUUUAUUUUGCUUUCUAAGUGGUUAUCAGAAUCUCAUAACCUGGAUCACAAAUUUUGUAGGUUGACUUUAUUCAUUUUUUCGGGUUCUUUUUUAAUUGAAUAUUUUUUUUUAAUUGGGCUUUGUAAAAAAAAAUUCUGAUUUUUUUUAUAGGGUUAUCUCAAUCUUAUAAAUCAGGUUACGAGUUUGACAUGUUGACUCGAUUUAUUUUUUAGAUUUUUUUUAAUUGAAUAUUUUUUUUGACAUGUUGUUUAGGAAUUAAGUUUCGUAAUUUUUUUUUUUCAGUAGAGUUAUCUUGGUUCAUGUAUUUAGUCUUUUUUUCAAUUUCAAUAUUUAAUAUUUGAUCUGUUGGAAAUGUAGCUUCAUAGUUUUUUUAUUUGUAUUUUAUGAAGUUAUCAUGAUCUUAUUAUUUAUGUUACGAGUCUAAUAGGUUAGCCCAAGUUGAAUUGGGUUAUUUUUUUUCCUUUUUCAAAGUGAUUUUUUUGUUUUAUCUUUUAACAUUGGGUUAGUUGAAAAUUGAGUUUCAUAACUUUUUGUUAUUUGAUUUCUAUAAGGUUAUCUUGAUCUCAUAACUAGAGUUGUGGGUUAACACGAGUUGACGAGAGUCAUUUUUUAUUUAAAAUGUUUUUUUUUCAAUUUCAUAAUUUAUUUUAAUUUGUUUUUUAUAGAAUUAUUUCGGUCUCAUGAUUCAAUUGCAGAUUUAUCAGGUUAACACAAACAUAUCCAAUAUGUCAUUGUCAUAAUAUUUGAAGAAAUAUUAUCCAAUAUGUUAUUAUAUCAAUAUUUAGAAAAAAUGUCAUCCAAUAUACAUCUUAUUUUGAGUUAUGAAUAAUUGUUUUUUAGUUAAAAAAAUUGAUUUCACCCAUAGCACAGUGCAUGCCAAUAAUCUCGUAAUAUUCUAUAACAUAAUGCGGAAAUAAAAUAGUGAGAUCGAAUACAUACCAUUAUUAUUCAUGAUAUCCAAUGAAGAAAUCUUUGUUUAUAUAUAUUCAGUUACCUACUUAUUAUAAUUUAUUUAGUGUCUUUUUAUAGAGGAUAUAGUGGUGAGUAAAAAAGAUAAUCAUCGGGUCUAAUUAUUUAUCAUGAUUCCUUAAAUUUUUUUUAUAGACUGUUUGAACCCUAUAAAUUAAAUUAAACUCACAUGGUUAAAUCACUUUUUAUGUUUGAAUUCUUUUAAGGAUAUUAAUUUUAGUUCGAAACGAAAUUGAAUUUAUAAAAAAUAUGCAAGAUUUUCUAGUGUGCCACGGUAAUUCCUCUUGAAAUUCUUGUUGUUUAUAAUAUUCCAAAGAUACCUCUUUUCAAUGCAGAAAACAGGAUAAAAAAAAGGAAGAAAGAAGAGGUUGGUGAUUAAAAACCUUUCACAAGAACGCAACCUUUCUGGUGUCAACUUCUCUUCUCUCUUAAUCUUAGUUUGUACAGAACUUAAUUCAGAGACGGGUUUUGAAUCGGCAUCUCGUCUUCUUUGACAAUAUCAUCAUUAACUUCGUUAUUGAGUUUUUUGAAGCCAUCCACACCUGUUGUGCUUCAACAUGCUUCAAGCUAUCAAGUUUUCAGUCGCUAAAAAGGCCAAAAAGGGUAGCCAGUGCUUUACUACCAGGCAUCACUUCUCAUGGAGCACGGUCCCAGGCAAAAAUGUUUAGAACUAGAGCAAUCACUUCAGCAGAUUAAGAUUAUGCAGACAUGAGCACAUCUCAACUUUGGAAAAACUGACCUGUGAUGAUUGCAUGGUUUGGACAGAAAUGUAUUGUAAGACAACUAGCACAGCAGGCAAAACAAGAUACAUAUGCCACGGUAUCCGACCAUCAAGGGGUGUGUGUCCAUCUUGAGAAACAAUCAAUCAAUAAACAUGAAGCAAGAUCCACAUGAAGGAAAUAAAGGCCUUUAUUUUAUGUCAUUUUCAAUGAAUUAUAUUUUAUCCAGAAACUGUUGAUUACAAGUAUACAAAUUUCAAGACAUAUAGCAAAGGCACGUCCUGAAUAAAAAUGCCGAAUAUAAUAAUAUUGUCCAAAGUCCAAGCCAUCAUGCCGUAUUGCAAUGUGUCCUUGGUGUAGGAGUAUUGCUCAUCACGUCGCUCACCCCUCCUCUCCUACUGUGCAUACAAUUAGUCUCCCUUUCCUUCCUAUAUUUUAUUUCUCAGAUUAGGAACCCAAUCGGGCAAUCAGUCCUAUAAAAGGCCAUGAUGAUGGUAGCGUCGAUCCCUGUCCUCUUUGCGAUGGCUCUAACCCAUUCCUCCUCCGCCACCUUAUUCCUCCUCUUGUCAUUGUCAGUGAUUGCCUCCGCUGGCGGUUACGGCUAUGACCAAAAGCCAAAUACAACCAAGCCAGAUCAUACUUACAACUCGAAAUCAAAGCCAGACACUUCCAAACCCAAGUAUAGUUAUGACCCCAAACCACGGCCACACGUCGUCAAACCAGACCUCCACAAACCAUAUUACGACUCCGAAGCCAACCCUCCCCAAACCAAAGUUCACAGAACCAAAACCAGACAAAGGGUAUGACUCAAAACCAUACCUUGGCCAACCAACCAUCCCCAAACCAGACGCUGCCAAGCCAAAUUAUGGUUACAACCCAAAACCAGAAGUUCCCAAACCGAAAUUGACAAUGCCGAAACCCAACUAUGGUAAUGACCCAAAACCAAAGUUGGUCGUACCCAAACCAGACACUGCCAAGACAAAUUAUGGUUACAAACCAAAACACGAAGUUCCCAAACCAAAGAUGACUGUACCAAAACCCGAUCAUGGUUAUG